UACGUAGGAGGCAAGCGUUGUCCGGAAUUACUGGGUGUAAAGCGCGUGUAGGCGGCUUUGCAAGUCGGGUGUGAAAGCCCUCAGCUCAACUGAGGAAGUGCGCCCGAAACUGCUCGGCUCGAGUAUGGAAGAGGGUCGCGGAAUUCCCGGUGUAGAGGUGAAAUUCGUAGAUAUCGGGAGGAACACCAGUGGCGAAGGCGGCGACCUGGGCCAAUACUGACGCUGAGGUGCGAAAAGCGUGGGGAGCAAACAGG
rnacentral:rRNA from 1 species